UUUUCCCUGCGAUGUGCGUGAAGCCUAUGAGUUUUGUUCCUAACACCAACAAAACGGGGAUCCAAUGCUCGUUAUCAAGUGGUAGCCGCUAGCCGGAUUCGCGCGAUAACGAGGGAGGUCACCCACCUGCGGAGAGCAGGUUCAAAACGAAGGGCGCACGGCAAUCGCGGGGCUUUA
rnacentral:other from 1 species